ACGGGAGGCAGCAGUGGGGAAUAUUGCACAAUGGGCGAAAGCCUGAUGCAGCAACGCCGCGUGAAGGAAGAAGGUCUUCGGAUCGUAAACUUCUGUCCUUGGGGAAGAUAAUGACGGUACCCUUGGAGGAAGCCCCGGCUAACUACGUGCCAGCAGCCGCGGUAAUACGUAGGGGGCAAGCGUUAUCCGGAAUUAUUGGGCGUAAAGAGUGCGUAGGUGGUUACCUAAGCGAGGGGUGAAAGGCAAUGGCUUAACCAUUGUUAGCCCCCCGAACUGGGCUACUUGAGUGCAGGAGAGGAAAGCGGAACUCCAUGUGUAGCGGUGAAAUGCGUAGAUAUAUGGAAGAACACCAGUGGCGAAGGCGGCUUUCUGGACUGUUACUGACACUGAGGCACGAAAGUGUGGGGAGCAAACAGGAUUAGAUACCCUGGUA
rnacentral:rRNA from 1 species